GGGCUGAUAGUGUAGUUGGUUAUCGCGCCCGCUUCGCAGGGCUUACGUAAGCAGGGCAUGCGGGAGGUGCUGGGUUCAAUUCCCAGUCAGUCCA